UACGUGGGGUGCGAGCGUUAAUCGGAAUUACUGGGCGUAAAGCGUGCGCAGGCGGUUUGUUAAGUCUGCUGUGAAAUCCCCGAGCUCAACUUGGAAACUGCGUUGGAUACUAUCCGGCUCGAGGAAUGGAGGGGAGACUGGAAUACUUGGUGUAGCAGUGAAAUGCGUAGAUAUCAAGUGGAACACCAGUGGCGAAGGCGAGUCUCUGGACAUUUCCUGACGCUGAGGCACGAAAGCCAGGGGAGCAAACGGG
rnacentral:rRNA from 1 species